rnacentral:lncRNA from 1 species
ACUUGUAGGUGAGACAGAAGAUCUGGACCAAUGCCAAGCAAAGGACCAGUAGAUUCACGUGGGCAUAAAGGGAAACAAAGUGAAAAAAGAGCUACAUGUCACUCCCUUUCAUAAUGCUAUCAUUCACAAAAGAUUAUGAACUUCACUGGUAGAAGAAUAAUGGAAGAAAGCAGUUAACUCCACCUCCAAGACACCUACUGAGAGAUCUGGAAAAUGGAAAGCUUAGGUCUGUGUAGGACUUAAGUCUGUGAGGUACAGUGAAAAGCAACAACAACAGCCACAACAAAAACUACAGAUUUCUUACAGCUCUGUCACCUGGACAUUUUGGGAGCAAAAUGACCAUGAGCCUACAAAAGUUGAAAAAUUGGAAAUGAAUCUGAUACCGAAGAACAAACGCACCUUCUACAGCAAGCACUUCCUCCACAACCUUGUCUCACUCUCCUUUGCUCUAUGUGUAAGAAUAACAAACCUUCAG